AUAUAAUUUUUGUGUAUUAUUCAUCAAUCCAUUAUCAUACAAUAAUUUUUAAAACGCAUUAACUGAUCGCCUAACCUGAAAUUUUAUUGCGCAUGUGCGUGGUAAUCACGAUUAAAGAUAUAAUGGUUGCCUAACGACACGGACUAAGAUUGUAAUAUAUUAUAUUUCUACCUAUAUUAUUAAUAAAUACAUAAAGUGAUUUGGAACCAAUAACGAUCAUACAUUGAUAUGAAAAUUUAAAACACAAUUUAAAAAUAAAUCAUUUACUUAACUUACAUCAUUAUAAACUCGGACCACCCAGAAACAAUGCUAUUGCAACAUACCGCAGCACAUCAAAAGAUAACACCCAAAAGCAAUAAUCACACACGGAAGCAGAUAAACAGAACGCAAUAUCGAAUGCACGGGCGCCAACGAAUUAAUGACUUCUACAUAGGGGACCACACAAUACUAUCAGGCUAAGAAAAUUAUUAAGACCGUAGAAAAAAAACAACAAUUGUGGUACCGGGCAUCCGCCGAAACACCGAAUGAUGGAAUCAUCAGCCGUAUAUUCAAUAACAAAGUAAUAAAAACUAAUUACACUAUAAACACCAUCUCACCGCCAAUAUCAAAGGAAUGAUACGAGCAUACACAAGAUGAUGCAAUCGUAUAUAACAACAAGACAAUUAAGACAACACAUACAUUCGAAUCUAAAUAUCUAGCCAGCACUCGGCAUUUAAUACAAAACGCAAUAAAAUUAAUACACGGAUGCCAACUGUAGAAAGAAGAAAGUAAGCACACGAACCAAGUGCAAAGAAUCAAGAAUGUCAAAUUACGAACUUAAUGACUUAUAACUGCUUCAUGUACUAUAUGCACUGCAUACAGAAACACGAACCUUACAUCAAGCACCAUUCAAGCGAGGCCAUAUCGACUAAUCAAUCGUCGAAAGUAAUCCCUCAUCAAAUGGCAAACCGUCAAGAAUAAAAGUUAUACAGCUAUCAGAACAAGAGACAGGCACAAUCAAGCACAAUGAUGUGUGCUUACCUCAACAAUAACGUGCGGAAAUAGUCAACACGCAAGUUUCAUUACAAUCACAAAAAGCAUACGGAUGCCUGAACCACAGCGCCAAACAGCCAGCGCACUGAUUACUGCGCAGCGAUGACUUAAGAGGGGAUAAGACCGGCUGUAUAAAACGACGUAGCGCGCUACACGCCACCGCCAGUGUACACGAAAUCAUCAUUAGAAACGGACGAUACGCAAGGACUUACGCAUUUCAAUAUCGAAGACACAAAAUUUAACUCUGAUUUUCUAAUUACGUAAACUUCUAUCAUAACUUUACUAAACGCUCAAAAGGCCAAACUUAAUCAUUACAUUAACUUUUCAAAACAUCACGUAUGAUCUUAUUGGUUUCAAAUUCAUGAUUUAUGAUGUAAAAUAGUAGAAGUGAGUCAUACGUUGCAAUAAUAACGCGCAUCGAACCACGAACGAUAAAAGAACGACUCCGAAUACAUCCAGAUCAAUAAGCACAACGUUACAGCAGUCGAGUUGUUUCAGAACCCCUGCAGAUUAUAAUUAAUGAAUUGGAUCCCGGAUCUUUUGGGACGCAGUUCAUGUAAAUUUUUUACGGGACGUCACUCAUGUGUUCCCAGUCAGCUUUAUUGGGAUCCAAUGUACAAUAGGGCUGCGUCCCGGUGUAAAAUAAGAGCAAGUAAAAAAUUAAUGAAAAGAAAAUUAUUUUAACACCAUUAACAGAUGAAUUUAUAAUAUAAUAGGUAUAGUUAUAGACAUUAAAACAUUCAUUUCAAAUUGUGAAAUGAUUCCUUAUUGUAAAAUGGAGGAAUUAAAAAAAAAAAUAGUUAUAGAGACAUAAUCAAACAAAAAAUAAUUAAAUUUCCCUUUUUAAUAAUAGAUGGCGAGAUUUUUUACUCAAGUUACAUCUGAUGAAUUUUUUUUUCGGUCACUAGAACAUUAAUAUUAACGGUCAAUUUGAUAUGCGUUUUUUUUUUUUGUGUUCAUUAACACUAUUACAACUUAUAAGUAGUAUUGUAGUAGUAUUGUUAGGGUAUUUUUAUUAGUCUUAAAUAAAUUAUUUAUAAUGCAGUGUGAUCCCGAAAUAAAUAAAAGGUUCAUUCAUAUAUAAAUUUUAUAUUACAUUAUAUUAAUCAAUAAAUUAAAAUAUUUUUCAAAAACAAAUAUUAAAAAAAAAUCUAUUUCUUAUCUACAAACUACAUUGUUUAGAUACUGAUAUUAGAUAACCUAUUUUUUAAAUAAAUAGUUUGUAAUUUGUAUACUAUUAUACAGUUUAGUUUUUUAUAAGUUCUAGAAAUAUUGCAGUGGGUACCUAUACGGUAAAUGUUAUUCAAACAGUUUAUUUGUAAUCCUAAAUUAAUUGUACAUGCAUGAAUUUAAUUUAUCAUUUAGUUAUCAUAAUAUCAUUGUGUGAUAAUUCUGUUUUAAUCAAGAUACAAAACUGAAAAUAUUAUAACAUUUAUUCCUGAUAAAAAUUAAGAUUAUGUUAGUUGAAAACAAUUUUGGUGGUGUGGACUAAUGUUAUAAUUUAGUAGCGAUAACAGUAGACAGUAGGUAUAUAGGUAGGUAGUACAUAAUAUAUUAUAAGUUAUAAUCUACAAUUUAGAAGUUACCGAGCGCAUUAUCAACAAAACCAACAAUUUUAGAUCAGUAGGUAUAACUACUAAAACUUAAAGAAUUUUUAAAAUACAAUUUAAUAUACAUUUUUUAAGCUACAGAACUUCCAGAAAAUAUUUAAAACUAUGUAGGUACUUACCUAGAUUUUCCGACAAAAUAGUUUAAGAUAAAUGGUUUAAUUAUCAGUGCUGCCUAUUGAAAGAUACAUUGAUCAGUUGUGGAGUUAUGGUCAUUGUAUGAAAAAAACAUGUUAAAAUAUUAUUUAAAUAAGUUGAAUAAUAUUGAAGGCCUUAAACAAUACUAUACUGUAUAGUAUUGUUUAAGGCCUUCAAUACAUAUAUACAUAUAUACAUAGUACCUUGUAUUCAACCUAUAUUUCUACCCAAUAUUAGGAACUUUCUUAAAAUAAAUGUUAUCGUUUAAUUGAGUAACUAAAUUAUAGUUUUGUUUAAAA